AUUGAACGCUGGCGGCAGGCCUAACACAUGCAAGUCGAACGAGUGGCGGACGAGUGAGUAAUGUCUGGGAAACUGCCCGAUGGAGGGGGAUAACUACUGGAAACGGUAGCUAAUAACGCAUACCAUCGGAUGUGCGCAGGUGGGAUUAGCUUGUAGGUGAGGUAACGGCUUACCUAGGCGACGAUCCCUAGCUGGUCUGAGAGGAUGACCAGCCACACUGGAACUGAGACACGGCCCAGACUCCUACGGGAGGCAGCAGUGGGGAAUAUUGGACAAUGGGCGAAAGCCUGAUGCAGCCAUGCCGCGUGUUUGAAGAAGGUCUUCGGGUUGUAAAGCACUUUAAGUCGGGAGGCGUUACCAACAGAAUAAGCACCGGCUAACUUCGUGCCAGCAGCCGCGGUAAUAC
rnacentral:rRNA from 1 species